AGAGUUUGAUCAUGGCUCAGGAUGAACGCUAGCGGGAGGCUUAACACAUGCAAGUCGAGGGGCAUCACGGGGUAGCAAUACUUUGGUGGCGACCGGCGCACGGGUGAGUAACGCGUAUGUAACCUACCCCCAACAGGGGAAUAACCCGGAGAAAUUCGGACUAAUACCGCAUAAAGACGGACUUGGGCAUCCAGGGCCGUCCGAAGCAGCGAUGCGGUUGGGGAUGGGCAUGCGUAACAUUAGCUAGUUGGUAGGGUAACGGCCUACCAAGGCUACGAUGUUUAGGGGACCUGAGAGGGUGAACCCCCACACUGGUACUGAGACACGGACCAGACUCCUACGGGAGGCAGCAGUGAGGAAUAUUGGUCAAUGGGCGGAAGCCUGAACCAGCCAUCCCGCGUGGAGGAAGACGGCCCUAUGGGUUGUAAACUUCUUUUCAAGGGGAAGAAAGUUCGCGACGUGUCGCGAUUUGCCGGUACCUUUGGAAUAAGCAUCGGCUAACUCCGUGCCAGCAGCCGCGGUAAUACGGAGGAUGCGAGCGUUAUCCGGAUUUAUUGGGUUUAAAGGGUGCGUAGGCCGGCCGAUAAGUCAGCGGUGAAAUACCAUGGCCCAACCAUGGAACUGCCGUUGAUACCGUCGGUCUUGAAUAUGGUCAAGGUAGGCGGAAUGUGUAAUGUAGCGGUGAAAUGCUUAGAUAUUACACAGAACACCGAUUGCGAAGGCAGCUUACUGGUCCAUUAUUGACGCUGAGGCACGAAAAGCGUGGGGGAUCGAACAGGAUUAGAUACCCUGGUAGUCCACGCCGUAAACGAUGAUCAC
rnacentral:rRNA from 1 species